UUUCCAUCUACAGCAUCAAAUGUCUGAUGUGCAUUUUAGUAGAUUAGUAGAGUCAGAACUAGCAUUUGAUAAAUAGGGAGGAAACUUUGUGGGAAGGCAUA